UUUAGCUUUUCUUUUCCGGUUGCACAACAUAGUAUCUUUGAGGAAAUCCUUCCAUAAAGAGAAUUCCAUCUUGGCAGCAUCUUAUCUCAGUCAGUAAGUGUCCAAGGCAUAAAAAGUUUCUUUAAAAGUCGUUUGCAUGCUAAACCUUUGCAAGAAAGCUGCUCUUAAAAACCUGUCUCAGGAUUGGACUUUUUUUUUUUUAAUGUGGAGCGCUUCAUGAAUUUGUGUGUCAUCCUUUCACAGGAGCCAUGCUAAUCCUCUCUGUAUCAUUCCAGUUGUAGUAUACGUGCAGCUGAAAUGAGCAGGGGCUUGGACUGUUGGUGAGAUGUUGCUUUAUCAUGAUGUCCUUCUGAAUGGGACAAUUGAGUACCCCAGUGGAGUCAGGAUGCAUCUGCCUUUUGCUUUGCAACCAGAAAAAGGAAGGAUGUGCAAACCACACAUGUCUGCUCUGGGCUCACCCCAAACCUGGGCAUCUUUUACUGCACGUGAACACUUCCUCCGAGAAUCCCUCAGACACUUACCCCCAGCUGCUGCUGCUGAUAGGACCGUGCCCCUGCUUGUUGGCCUGUCUUGGCUUCACCUCGUAGCAGCAGAGGAAGCCGAGAUCACCCCACUGCACUCCAGUCUGGGCGACAGAGUGAGACUCCAUCUCAAAAACAAACAACAAAAAAAAAGAAUUGCUAGAAAAAUAAAAUUAAAAAAAGACAAACAAUAGAAACCUGAUUUUUUUUUUAAACUAGACUCAAUAAACAAAAACUUUCCCUGUCAAAUUCCUAUAGAAGUUUCUCAACAUUUCUCUCAACUCCUGGCCACCUCAUCGCAGGCUGGUAACACAGGCCAUGGCUAGGCCCCAGUACGCAGAUCCCACUUAGAGGAUCAUUGGUUUCAUUACUUGUGUUCCCACUAGACUUUGAGCUCUGGGGGGUGGGGGGAGGGUCACCUGCCCUAUUCACCACUAUGUCCCUAAGGCCUAGAAUGGUACCUGGCACAUAGUAGGUAUUCAAUGCAUUCUUAGUGAAUGACUCAAGUGGUUCAAUGAACAAGCAGCCAGUGACAAAGGAGGGCAUAUGGAAAGAGGGGUCCACGGGAUGUUUGGCCAGGUUGGUCACUGUUGGCCCAGUGGCAGGGUACAGGCUGUGAAGACUGCAAGCAUUCUGGGGACCCACAGGGGUGCAAGGACAACUCCUGCUGUCCAGGCUCGUGGCAGUCAGGAGAGGCCCAGGGCAGUGGCCGCUGCCCAGGCAGAAGCCACCCCUUAUCUCAGGACAGCUCAGCAUGGGCUGUGCCCCUGUUCUGCCUGGCAGCCCCUCUGAUCUCUAACCAGAUUCCCUGUGAGGGCCCUGGAUGGAAAUUCCGACAGGGCCCAUUGAUGGGGGUCCCUGGGUAGGGGGCAGGCACCUGAGGAGAGAUGGAAAGUGACCCUGAGGAGGCAGGUUUCGGGGGGGGGGGUGGCCAGCUGUCCUCUGUCCUUGCUAGUGCAGGGCCCUAAGCAAUGUGCAACCUGGACUGGGUAUCAGAGCAAGGCCAGCAGGGACUAAUGCCUAAAAUAGAGACGGCCUCUGCGGGGGCUCAGGAACAGGAGAAAGACAGGAGGCAGCAAGUCAAGUCAGCCAGGCUUCCAAGGUUGGCCCCUGCCGUGUAAGACACCUGACUUCAAGAGAAAGCCACAGCGCAGGGCACCUCAGCUUUUGAAUGUGUGGCCACCCCCACUCUCAUGUCCCUGGGCAGCUCAACACUAAAUAUCCAACCACCCCUUCUGGUGUGAUGAGGCUGCCUGGCCAUCCUAGGUGGAAUCAACCACACUCAGCUCUGUGGAAGAAGGAAUGCCCAAUACUGUUCCCCAGAGCCGCCUGCAGCAACUGACACCUGCCCCACCUCAGCUGCCGCUCCACCUGCUCAGGCCUGCCUCCAGAGUUGUCAGAAAUUCGCCUUUCUGUGGACCUUUUAUAUAAAUGGACUCAUACGGACGGGCGCAGUGGCUCACGCCUGUAAUCCCAGCACUUUGAGAGGCUGAGCCGGGUGAAUCACGAAGUCAGGAGUUCGAGACCAGCCUGGCCAACAUGGUGAAACCCCAUCUCUACUAAAAAUACAAAAAUUAGCCAGGCAUGGUGGUGGGUUCCUGUAAUCCCAGCUACUCGGGAAGCCGAGGCACGAGAAUUGCUUGAACCCGGGAGGUGGAAGUUGCAGUGAGCUGAGAUCAUGCAUGCCACUGCACUCCACCCUGAGUGACAGAGUGAGAUUCCGUCUCAAAAAAUAAAUAAAUAAAAAUUGAAAAAGAAAAUGGACUCAUACAAUGCAGUCUGUUAUGUCUGGUUUCUUCCACUUAGCACGCUGCUUCCAAGGUCCACUCGUGUUUCCACAUGUAUCAAUACUUCAUCUCUUCUAAUUACUGAAUAACAUCCCAUUGUAUGGACAUACCACAUUUUAUUUAUCCAGCCACCAGUUAAUGUAUAUUUGGAUGAUUUCCAGUGUGAGAUUGUUAUGAAUAGCGCUACUAUAAACAUUCACGUACAUGUCUUUGUGUGGACUAAUGUUUUUAUUUGUCUUGGGUAGAUUCCUAGGAGUGGAAUAGCUAGGUUCUAUGGUGAAUUUAUGUUUAGCUUUUUUAUUUUCUUUCAGACAGGGCCAUGCUUUAUCACUCAGGCUGGAGUGCAGUGUUGCUAUCAUGGCUUACUCCAGUCUUGACCUCCCGGGCUCAAGUGAUCCUCCUACCUAGGACUACAGGACUCACCACCAUGCCUGGCUAAUUAAAAAAAAAUUUUUUUUGGCCAGGUGCGGUGGCGCACGCUGGUAAUCCCAGCACUUUGGGAGGCUGAGGCGGGUGGAAUCACAAGGUCAAGAGAUCGAGACCAUCCUGGCCAACAUGGUGAAACCCCAUCUCUACUAAAAAUACAAAAAUUAGCUGGGCGUGGUGGCGCGCACCUGUAAUCCCAACUACUCGGGAGGCUGAGGCAGAAGAAUCGCUUGAACCCAGGAGGCGGAGGUUGCAGUAAGCCGAGAUCAUGCCAUGGCACUCCAGCCUGGUGACAGAGCAAGACUUCGUCUCAAAAAAAAAGAAAAAAAAUUUGUAGAGAUGGGGUCUCCACAUGUUGCCCAGGUUGGUCUGAACUCCUGGGCUCAAGCAAACCUCCUGCUUCAGCCUCCCAAAGUGCUAGGAUUACAGGCGUGAGCCACAGUGCCCAGGCAGUUUUAGCUUUCUACUGAAACUGCCAGAUUGUUUUCCAAAAUGGUUGUACUGUUUAUACAUUUCCACCAAUAAUAUAAUAUGAGGAUUCUAGUUUCUCCACAUCCCUGCCAACACUUCUUAUUUAAAAUUGUGAUCCAGGUUGGGCAUGAUGGCUUAUGCCUGUAAUCCUACCACUUUUGGAGGCCGAGGCAGGCAGAUCACUUGAGGUCAGGAGUUUGAGACCAGCCUGAUUAACAUGGCGAAACCCUGUCUCUACUAAAAAAAAAAAAAAAAAAAAAAAAUUAGCUGGGUGUGGUGGUGCAUUCCUGUAUUCCCAGCUACUCAGGAGGCUGAGGCAGGAGAAUUGCUUGAAUCUGGGAGGCGGAGGUUGCAGUGAGCCGAGAUCACACCACUGCACUCCAGCCUGAGUGACAGCAAGACUCCGUCUCAAAAAAAAUAAAAUAAAUAAAAUAAAACAAAAUAAAAUUGUGAUCCAGCAUUCUCAUUUCUGGGUAUUUACCCAAAAGAUUUGAAAUCAGUAUGUCAAAGAGAUGUCUGUGCUCCCAUUUUCACUGCAGCACUAUUUACACUAGCCAAAUUAUGGAACCAAUCUAAAUGUCCAUCAAUAGAUGAACAAAUAAAGAAAAUGUAACAUAUAUCCACAAUGGAAUUUUAGUCUUAAAAAAGGAAAGAAAUUCUCUCAUUAACAACAACAUGGAUGAAAUUGGAAGACAUGGGCAGGACGCAGUGGCUCAUGCCUGUAAUCCCAGCACUUUGGGAGGCAGAGGCGGGUGGAUCACCUGAGGUCAGGAGUUUGAGACCAGCCUGGCCAACAUGGUGAAACCCUGUCUCUACUAAAGAUACAAAAAAAUUAGCCAUGGUGGUGGGUGCCUGUAAUCCCAGCUACUUAGGAGGCUGAGGUAGGAUAAUCACUUCCGGGAGGUGGAGGUUGCAGUGAGCCGAGAUCAUGCCAUUGCACUCUAGCCUGGGGAACAAGUCUCAAAAAAAAAGAAAUCAGAAGACAUGACGUUAAGUGUAAUAAGCCACACACAGAAAAACAAAUACCACGUGAUCUUACUUAUGUAUGUGUGAUGGUUGAUACUGAGUGUCAACUUGAUUGGAUUGAAGGAUGCAAAGUACUGAUCCUGGGUGUGUCUGUGAGGGUGUUGCCAAAGGAGAUUAACAUUUGAGUCAGUGGGCUGGGAAAGGCAGACCCACCCUUAAUCUGGGUGGCCACCAUCUAAUUGGCUGCCAGUGUGGCUAGAAUAUAAAGCACGCAGAAAAAUAUGAAAAGACUAGACUGGCCCAGCCUUCCAGCCUACAUCUUUCUCUCAUGCUGGAUGCUUCCUGCCCUCAAACAUUGGACUCCAAGUUCUUCAGUUUUGGAACUCCAACUGGCUCUUCUUCUUCCUAAGCCUGCAGAAGGCCUACUGCGGGACCUUGUGAUUAUGUGAGUUAAUAUUUAAUAAUCUCCCUGAUAUAUAUAUAUAUA
rnacentral:lncRNA from 10 species